AACUUCGAUGUUGGAUUAAAAGGACUAUUAGGAGUAGAAGCUUAAUAAGUUGGUUUGUUCAACCAUUAAAGUUUUACAUGAUCGGAGUUCAGACCGGCGUGAGCCAGGUCGGUUUAUAUCUAUUUUGGAGUGGGAUAUUUAUAGUACGAAAGGAAUUAAGUAUGAUAAUGAUUAGGAAGAGUUAUGAUGAAAAG
rnacentral:rRNA from 1 species